AACGAACGCUGGCGGCAUGCCUAACACAUGCAAGUCGAACGAAGCCUUCGGGCUUAGUGGCGCACGGGUGCGUAACGCGUGGGAAUCUGCCCUCGGUUCGGAAUAACAGUUAGAAAUAGACUGCUAAUAACCGGAUGAUGACGAAAGUACCAAAGAUUUAUUCGCCGAGGGAUGAGCCCGCGUAGGAUUAGCUUGUUGGUGGGUAAGUGGCCCACCAAGGCGACGAUCCUUAGCUGGUCUGAGAGGAUGAUCAGCCACACUGGGACUGAGACACGGCCCAGACUCCUACGGGAGGCAGCAGUGGGGGAAUAUUGGACAAUGGGCGAAAGCCUGAUCCAGCAA
rnacentral:rRNA from 1 species